AGCAGGGCAUCAUGGGAGACACUGUCUGGCACCAGUUCUCCUGGUCCACCUAUCGGCUCUGAAGUUUAAACAUGGCGGCUCCUGUUUUCCUCCCAGCCCUGGCGCCAAACGGCAGUCCCACAGGCAUCCUUCCCAGGAAUGGUUAGGAUUAAUGGAACGAUUGUUAUCACGAGAGACAGAAACUGAAAACCAUGGCUUCAGGCUGCUAAAAACCUAACAUGAAACAAAACAGAAGAACAACAACAACAAAAUAAGGUUGCUGACCAGAACUCAACAGUGAGGGAAUUUAUCUCCUGCUUCAUGCAUGCAACAUCAAAAUAAGAUGCCCUGCCCAAAGAGGAGAAAUCUGGCAGUCUGGCUGCAAGGGCCUUGCUGAGCUGCAGUGGGCUCCACCCAGUUUGAACUUCCCAGAGGCUUUGUUUACACUGUGAAGGCAGAGUGACCUAUGGGAUCCAUGGAGGAGCUGCUUCCCGAAUCUGUGUAAAGUAGAUCUUGCUGUGUAAUAGGGUGACUGUGACUGUGGUGGCCAUGAAGAGGCACAACUCGGACCUCGGAUCUCCUGCUGCAGAGAACAUUGACUGACAGCCCAGCAGCUCCUAUCUGGGUCUACCACCUGUUCACAGCGAGGCCAACAUCCCCCAGGCUGCUCCCAGCCCAGGGCUGAGCAUGGCACGGUCCUAAUGCUCUUAAAGACCUCUAGAUCUCCCUAGAGAUGUAGGACUCUUCCAACAGGCCACUUUGGCUCAGGGCUCCCCAUCAGCUGGCCUAACCUUUCUAGGAACUGUGCUGUGGCUAAAGGUCUCCCAGCCCAUCCCUGCCCUUUUCCUUCUCCUUCACAGGGGCCAGACCUGCAUUUCCACCUGCAGGAUCUCCUUGCCUCCUCCUGCUCCCUCCCCUUUCCUUAACAUGGGCUCCCCAGUAAAUCGUUUGCAUGUUUAAUCCUGACUCUGCGUCUGCUUCUCCAAGGACCCAAACUAAUUCACGUACAGUAGAAAAUGAUUGACUUUUGACUUGGUCCUGGAUUCAUAUCUUGUCUCUGUCGCUUAUUAACAACAUAAACUUCCAUCACUCAACCUCUCCUUAUUUUCCUCAUCAAUUAAAAUAUUUCUUACUCCUAAAGUUAUGGUGAAUAUUGGAAGAGUUAAUUUUUGAAGAGCACCUGUGAUGUGCCUCCUAGAACAGGGACAGUUUGUUCCUUUCUCAUCAUUAUCCUUUAGCAGUGAUGGAAUGGGACUCUAUGCUGUUGAGUUUUGAUAAGAGAUUGCAAGGAAGUGAGAGAGGAAGAAUACCAGCUGCGGCACAUAGCAAGUCUGCCUCCUGGGUCAGGUUCCCCUGACAACGUUGGUGCCCGGGGCAUAAAGAUGCUUCAGGGAAGGGAAGGAUGGGGCACUGGAGGGAGACCAAAUUCAAUCAUCUUAAGUCCAGUCCCCAAUUCUGUGCAAUUCUUAGUGUAAAGUUUUUAAAAAGAACAUUAAAGACAGUUACAAAGCCG